GUGUUCACAGGAGGGAGAAACGGCUGCCAUCCUGACAGGGAUGGGAAUAGCUAGCGGGCUUUCCUGUUAACCAUAUACGGUUGAGGCUGCCCGCCUCCUUGGUGGAUCUAUAACCCAAGUUUUUG